rnacentral:rRNA from 1 species
CGUGUAGGCGGCCAGAUAAGUCCGCUGUGAAAUCUCGAGGCUCAACUUCGAGCUGUCGGUGGAAACUGUCUGGCUAGAGUCCGGAAGAGGAGAAUGGAAUUCCUGGUGUAGCGGUGAAAUGCGCAGAUAUCAGGAAGAACACCCGUGGCGAAGGCGGUUCUCUGGGACGGUACUGACGCUGAGACGCGAAAGCGUGGGAGCGAACA